CGAAUAAAAUUCUAGGUAGAAUUAUGAUAAUGACAUUGUCUGCCUAUGUGUCUUGACCAAAUUACGUGCCAGCAGUCGCGGUAAUACGUAGAAGACUAGUGUUAUUCAUCUUUAAUAGGUUUAAAGGGUACCUAGACGGUAAAUCAAGCCUGAAAGGGGACUAAUUUUCUAGAGUUACUUGNGAGGGGGUAUUAAAGUACUGAUGGUGUAGAGAUGAAAUUCUGUCAUACCUUUUCUAUUGCUAGAACUAAUGGCACAGGUAUAGGCGAAAGCAUCCCCUUAUGUGAUAACUGACGUUGAAGGACGAAGGCUUUGUGUCGCGAACAGGAUUAGAUACCCCAGUANUCAAAGCANAAAAUGAUGAAUGUCAUANAUUAGACAUNUNGUUUAUUCUAUAAAUGAAAGUGUAAGCNUUCCNCCUCANGAGUAAUUUGGCAACNUUGGAACUGAAAUCAUUAGACCGUUUCUGAAACCAGUAGUGAAGUAUGUUGUUUAAUUUGAUGUUCCGCAAAAAACCUUACCACAAUUNGAAUAUUNAUAUCNAUAUCUUUUCUUUGAUCUUAUUUCUUUUCUGUUGCUAACCAAGUUAUGCAUCCAUUUUUUUCUUCUUUGCUUUGCAAA
rnacentral:rRNA from 1 species